rnacentral:rRNA from 1 species
UAGCUGACACCAAGCACAUAGCUAAGCUGGCGGGAAAAGGCGAACAGAGACCUAAAAUAUAGACAGAGGCUAGGAAGAUCUCGUAUCAAGGCUGUCUGUAUGGAAAAAACAAGGCAAGUUGGAAGCAGCCAUCUUUUCUGCAGGGGAUAAACAAUCAACAUCAACUAUAUGAGAGGCUAAUCAAUUACGAGUGGAAUUUGCGGGAAGAAGCGUAAGAAAAGGUAUCAAAUAACGAGCCGGGGAGGAGACCUGAAGAAUGCUCCCUCUCAGGCGAAUAAAGUAUAAAGACCUGAUAGGGUAAACAAAGAAAGGAGAAGUAAAAAAUAAGAUCUCACUCAAGGGAGGAUAGGAGUAAAGCAUCCCGAGGUUGGACGAGAUGAUAGCAAACUCUCCCACAGGUACGAAUCCAGAUCUACUAGUCAUCUCCAAAAAGAAAAUGUCUGAAAGUCGGGGCAGUAGGCCCGAUAGCGAACAAUGAGCGAAAGCCCGAUCCAGCAAUAAAGCGUAUAGAAGAAGACUGGAUGUCCAUCAGGCUCUAUGUUUAAGGCAAACCAUGUAAAAUAAUUGGUCUCGUACCCAACCCAAGUGUAUAUCCCUAUAAGAGACUCAGUGUGCAAAAAAUGGGCUUCCAGAGUCAAUCCUCGUCCGUAUAGCCAAGAGUGGAUCACGAGGCAUAGUCAUGCCAGAAAGGUGGUUAUGUAAAGGAUCUAGUAGGAAGCAAAGAACAGUGAAAGCGUCGAUCCUAAUCGGUACAACGAGAAGGAGUAUGUCUGAUAGACAUCUAAUGCUAAUGGUGAUUCCCCAUGCCCCAAAAUCCAGAGGUAUGCUCCCGGCAAUUGAAGUAAAGAUGCAACUGGUGAAUCUUUUUAUGGAUCUGGAAAAGGAUAUAGAGAGUCCCUCCUCGUAUUCGUUCAUUCUAGCUAGUCUUCUGAUUUUCUCUCUUCUCGUAUGAUAUGCCUUCGGAAAAGAGCUAGAAAUCGUCCGCUCUGGAAUGAUAUGAUCUCGAGUAAUCGAAUCGAACACUGUACCAUUGAGAAUUAUCUAUAGUUGGAAAAGAGUUCUGUAAGAGAUUCUUUUAGGUGUCCUGAAGGAAAUCCUCAUCUUCUGGUGACAUGCGGAUUCUCUUGUAGAUCAUGUAUCCAUCCAUGAAGGACAUGACUGAAUACCCCGCAUUAAAGGUCCUAGUCUUGAAGCCCCCUUUUGGUCGAUACAAGUGAAUUCCUUCUAUUAAGAUAGAAGAAGGACGUUACAUGGUCAGAGUCACGGUACCUUUAUAUUAUAAAGGAUUAGUCUUGAGGUGUCCAAUUGGUUAGUUCAAGCCGACAUAACAUAGUAGAAGUAGAUCGAUAUUCCCUUCCUCUCCUGGUAUGCUUCCAGAAUGGAGUUCAGUUCGAUAUCUUUUUUAUACAAAAAAUUGUAUCGAUGUGUCACAAAUGCUUUCCCGAGUCAGUAAUAACUAUAAUAUAAUUGGAAACUUCCAGGAAAAAACUUUGAAUUGGGAGGGCGAUCCUCCCGGUGAACUGACCGUACCCCAAACUGACACAGGUGAACAAGUAGAGUAUAUUAGGGCGCUUGAGAGAACCAUGUUGAAGGAACUCGGCAAAAUGACCCCGUAACUUCGGGAGAAGGGGUGCUCUCCUAUCUUUUGAUUAGGAAAACGACACAUACCAGGGGGCAGCGACUGUUUAUUAAAAACACAGGACUCUGCUAAGUGGUAACACGAUGUAUAGAGUCUGACACCUACCCGGUGCUGGAAGGUCGGAAGGAGAAGUGUUAGUUGCUUUGAAUGGAAACCCUGGUAAACGGCGGCCGUAACUCUAACGGUCCUAAGGUAGUGAAAUUCCUUGUCGCAUAAGUAGCAACCUGCAUGAAUGGUGUAACGACUGCCCCGCUGUUUCCGACAUGGACCCAAUGAAAUUGAAUUCUCCGUGAAGAUGCGGAGUACCAACGGCUAGACGGUAAGACCCCGUGCACCUUAACUAUAGCUUCGCAGUGACAACCUUGAUCGAAUGUGUAGGAUAGGUGGGAGGUGAUGACACACAACGACCAAUCCUGAAAAACCACUCUUUCGUCUAAGGAUGCCUAACCGCCGCACCGAUCAUUCGGGGGAGGCGGGACACUGUGAGGUGGGUAGUUUAUCUGGGGUGGAUGCCUCUUAAAGAGUAACGGAGGUGUGCGAAGGUAGGCUCAAGCUAAGAUUCUGCUCGUGAGCAUAAUUGUAUAAGCUGCCUGACUGUGAGACCGACUGGUCGAGCAGGGACGAAACUCAGCAUAGUGAUCUGGGAGUCCCGUGUGGAAGGGCUCUCGCUCAACGGAUCAAAGGUAUGCUGGGGAUAACAGACUGAUGACUCCCAAGAGCUCUUAUCGACGGAGUCGUUUGACACCUCGAUGUCGACUCAUCACAUUCUGGUGUUGAAGAAGGUCCCAAGGGUUCGGUUUUUCACCGAUUUAAGUGGUACGUGAGUUGGGUUUAGAACGUCGUGAGACAGUUCGAUUCCUAUCUACCGUUGAUGUUAAAGGGAGAACUGCGAGGAGCCAACCCUAGUACGAGAGGACUGGGUUGGGCCAACCUAUUGUCUACUGGUUGUUAUGCCAAUAGCAGCGCCGGGCAGGUAAGUUGGUAUGGAAGAACUACUGCGCAGCGGGAAAUCCUUCUCUAUACAAGUUCUCGGACGAGGUUUUUGAACAGAAUUUCAAUAGGCGAGAGGUGUAAGCACCGCGAGGUGUGAAGCAAUCUCGUACUAAACGAAAGGACUUUCAACU